GAUGAAGAACGUAGCGAAAUGCGAUACGUAAUGUGAAUUGCAGAAUUCAGUGAAUCAUCGAAUCUUUGAACGCAUAUUGCGCUCUCUGGUAUUCCGGAGAGCAUGCUUGUUUGAGUAUCAGUAAACACCUCAACUCCCUUUCUUCUUGAAAUGGAGCUGGACUUGAGUGAUCCCAACGCUUUAUUCAUAAAGUGGCGGGUUACUUGAAAUGCAGGUGCAGCUGGACUUUUCUCUGAGCUAUAAGCAUAUCUAUUUAGUCUGCCUCAAAACAGAUUAUUACCUUUGCUGCAGCUAACAUAAAGGAGAUUAGUUCUUGUGCUGACUGAUGCAGGAUUCACAAAGACCGCUUCGGCUGUCUUUGUAAACUCGAUCUCAAAUCAAGUAAGACUACCCGCUGAACUUAAGCAUAUCAAUAAUCGGAGGA
rnacentral:misc_RNA from 1 species